AUGGAUGAACAACAUAAGCUUAUUAAUCAGUUAAUAGAGUUCGGUUAUUCGGAAGAGAUUAGUAAGCGAGCUAUAAAGCAGGGUGGAGCCAAAACAAUUGACGAUGCGCUAAAUUGGAUUGAAAAGGAAGAAGCAAAUGAACUUUCCACAAGACAUAAUGAAAAAUUAAAUAAGCAAAAUAUACAAACUAGUAACACUAAUGAUAGUAACACUAAUGAUAAUAAAGUCAUAAACGGAGAAGGUAAUGAUUUUUGUAAUAAGAGUUUAAACCCUUCUACUUCCUUUGAUGCUGAAAAUAAUUUAAUAAAUAAUAAAAAACUAACACCAGAGGAAGCUCAACAAAAAGCUAUAGAGUUGCAAAAAAAAAUUCGUGAAAAAAAAUUAUUAAAAGAGAAGGAAGAAGAAAUACAAAAAGAAAAAAAUCGACUUGCUAUGGCAAAAGAUAUUCAAAAAAGAAAUGAACAACUUCAAGAAUUCGAAAGAAAAAAAUAUUUAAAACAAUUAGAAAAAGAGAAAGAAGAACAUAAAAAAGAAAGAGAAAAACAAAUAGAAUUGUUAAAAUUAGAAUAUAAAGCAAAAUUUGGUAUUGAUUAUUUACCAGAAUCAGAAAAAAAAAAAAAUAUCGAAGAUCUAUCAGAAAAUGAAAGAAGAGAAGAAAUUGCUAUUUUAUUUAAUACUUUAAAAAAUAAAUAUAAAAAUAAAAAAAACGAAUUAAUUAGUUCAUUAAAUGUUUUAAAAACUUAUUUUAGUAAUAUUAAAAACAAUAUCUUAGAAAAAAAAUUUCAAAAAAUUAAAAAAGAAAAUAAAACAUUUAUUGAAAAAAUUAAAAUAUAUGAUGAAAUGGUAAAUAUAUUUCUGUUAGUCGGUUUUGAAGAUACAGGAGACUUUUAUGUUAUAAAAAAAUAUCCUAAUACGUAUUUACUUGGGGCAGCUAUAAAAUUUAUUGAUUUGACUAUAAAAAAUUUAAGUUAAUGGAAAGCGAUAAAAAAAAAAAAAAAAAAAAAAAAAAAAAAAAAAAAAAAAAAAAAAAAGAAGAAGAAGAAGAAGAAGAAGAAGAAGAAGAAAAAAAAAUACAAUACAUUAAAUAAAAAUGUAGUAUAAAUAACA
rnacentral:lncRNA from 1 species